AGAGCGAACGCUGGCGGCAUGCUUAACACAUGCAAGUCGCACGGUCAGCAAUGGCAGUGGCGGACGGGUGAGUAACACGUAGGAAUCUAUCCUUGAAUGGGGGACAACCGUGGGAAACUACGGCUAAUACCGCAUGAUGCCUGAGGGCCAAAGGUCGCAAGACCGUUUGAGGAGGAGCCUGCGUCUGAUUAGCUUGUUGGUGGGGUAAAGCUUACCAAGGCGACGAUCAGUAGCUGGUCUGAGAGGAUGAUCAGCCACAUUGGGACUGAGACACGGCCCAAACUCCUACGGGAGGCAGCAGUGGGGAAUAUUGGACAAUGGGGGCAACCCUGAUCCAGCAAUGCCGCGUGUGUGAAGAAGGUCUUCGGAUUGUAAAGCACUUUUGGCAGGGACGAUGAUGAUGGUACCUGCAGAAUAAGCCCGGCUAACUUCGUGCCAGCAGCCGCGUAA
rnacentral:rRNA from 1 species